GGUUGUAAUUCCUGUAACUCAAAAUUCGUAGAAUCGUCGUAAGCGGCAGGCGCUACAUUUGCAUUAAGAUCUCUUUCUGUAAGCUGUUGAAUUUGUUUGAUCAUAAUGAGGUGUGCCAAAUCUUUGAUUUACUUAUAUGCUGCCCCUUUUACUUUUCAGCUUGACUGAUAGACCCCACUUAUAGCAACAAAAUGAGUACCGCUCCCAAUAACGAAAUUUCAAGUGCUGGUAGUCGCAAAUUUUCUUCUACUACUGGCCUUUCUAGGUUAUCCCUGAAUUUACUUAUACGGUACAUUGAGAAUGUUUUGUCUGCCAUCACUAACCAGGGUUUGGGCUGCAAAAUAAUUGACAGUGGAACAGAGCUAAGGGAUCUGGUGCAGCCUGUUACCUCAGAUUUUUCUAAAUUGUUUGAAGGUAUUUCAGAGGGGGCAAAAAUGUUUUCGGAUGAGAAAUUUUUGAACUCCUAGCUAUCUACCGAAGCACAUUCAAUGGCGGUCGACGUGUUGAAAGGAUUGGGGAAUGCACACUGGGUUGCAGGGGAGCUGUUAGCGAUAGCUAAUGUUUUAGAAAGAUUCGACAUCAUCUCUGCAAAUGACAGAGAAUGCAUCGACCUUCUCAAAGAUAUGCUUAAGCUAGGUAAGUAUUUGAAGCAAAUGAAAGAUCUCAAUGCUAUUUUCCACAAAGAGGUUUUGGACGAUAUGCGUGAAGCUGUUCAAUUGAUAUUUUCUGGUGCGAUAUUAUGUCGUUCCUUUAUCACAUCGAAUAAAUUAUCCAAGUUGCUCUUGCCUGGGAAAAUCCGUGAGGAACUCAAUUAUGUUCGGGGAAAAGUAAAUUCUAUGGAACACUGUCUUCAAGGUCACCUACUCAUACUGAACACGGGGAAAGAUA